AUGACCAGAGAUAACCUCUCUAAAAGAGGCUUUGAAAAAUCUCAUGAAUGUGUCUACUGCUCUGAGAGAGAGUCUAUACAACAUCUAUUUUUUGAAUGUGUUGUUGCUAAGCAAAUAUGGAAAUAUGUUUCAGAUUUCUUCUCCUGCUCCCUAGGGGCUGAUUACCUUUCUAUUGCUAGAUUUUGGAUAGCCAAUAAGAAACACACCGCUCUAAAUACUAUUUGUGCAUGUGUAUUAUGGGCUAUCUGGAAACAUAGAAGUUCCUGUGUCUUUAGAAAUGUAAUGUGGAUUGAUUUGAAACAGAUCUGGAACUUGAUACCGGGGCUCUUGUGGCUGAUUCUUCUCAAGGACGUUGCUCGCCUAAAGAUGGAGGAAUUCAUGACCAGAGCUACCCUGAUCCUGAACACCCCUUUCCAGAUCGCAGUAGGGUAG
rnacentral:rRNA from 1 species